UCGGGCGUGGUGCGCGGUGCACGCUCCCUACUCUUGUUUGGUCCCCUGGAUGGCUUGAACAGGGAGAAGACCGGGUUCGACUCCCGGCGCCCGAA